rnacentral:lncRNA from 1 species
AGGACGGAACCAGAUCAAUGGGAUUUGAGUGCAGAGGAAUCCAGCCAGAUGCAAUCUCUAGAGAAUGCAUUUCCAGCUGUUCUCCAGAAAGGGACCAGAGCAGACAGCUGGUAACUGUGCAGCCCCUUUCAAGCAGCCCCACAGAUCUGUGCUGCAAGGAUCAGAGCUUCUUUGCUUCAGUUUCUCACGUCUGCUGGAUAACUCUGCACUGUAACAUUCCCAGAUUGGGAAAACCAGCAUAUGAAUCGAAGCAUAUUAAAUAUCUGCUCUUACUUGAUCUUUCAGUGGAACUACUCAGUCAACUUAGUAGUAAGCACCCAGUAAAAUCCAUAUUCUUUGGCUAAUGAAAGUCUG